rnacentral:rRNA from 1 species
UACAGAGGGUGCGAGCGUUGUUCGGAAUUAUUGGGCGUAAAGGGCGCGUAGGCGGCGCGGUCAGUCACCUGUGAAAUCUCCUGGCUUAACUGGGAGCUUGCAGGCGAAACUGCCGUGCUGGAGUGUGGGAGAGGUGCGUGGAAUUCCCGGUGUAGCGGUGAAAUGCGUAGAUAUCAGGAGGAACACCGGUGGCGAAGGCGGUUCUCUGGGCAUGAUCUGACGCUGAGGAGCGAAAGUGUGGGGAGCGAACAGG